rnacentral:rRNA from 1 species
GAUGAACGCUGGCGGCGUGCCUAAUACAUGCAAGUCGAGCGAACGGACGAGAAGCUUGCUUCUCUGAUGUUAGCGGCGGACGGGUGAGUAACACGUGGAUAACCUACCUAUAAGACUGGGAUAACUUCGGGAAACCGGAGCUAAUACCGGAUGAUAUUUUGAACCGCAUGGUUCAAAAGUGAAAGACGGUCUUGCUGUCCCUUAUAGAUGGAUCCGCGCUGCAUUAGCUAGUUGGUAAGGUAACGGCUUACCAAGGCAACGAUGCAUAGCCGACCUGAGAGGGUGAUCGGCCACACUGGAACUGAGACACGGUCCAGACUCCUACGGGAGGCAGCAGUAGGGAAUCUUCCGCAAUGGGCGAAAGCCUGACGGAGCAACGCCGCGUGAGUGAUGAAGGUCUUCGGAUCGUAAAACUCUGUUAUUAGGGAAGAACAUAUGUGUAAGUAACUGUGCACAUCUUGACGGUACCUAAUCAGAAAGCCACGGCUAACUACGUG